GACGAACGCUGGCGGCGUGCUUAACACAUGCAAGUCGAACGGAAAGGCCCUGCUUUUGUGGGGUGCUCGAGUGGCGAACGGGUGAGUAACACGUGAGUAACCUGCCCUUGACUUUGGGAUAACUUCAGGAAACUGGGGCUAAUACCGGAUAGGAGCUCCUGCUGCAUGGUGGGGGUUGGAAAGUUUCGGCGGUUGGGGAUGGACUCGCGGCUUAUCAGCUUGUUGGUGGGGUAGUGGCUUACCAAGGCUUUGACGGGUAGCCGGCCUGAGAGGGUGACCGGCCACAUUGGGACUGAGAUACGGCCCAGACUCCUACGGGAGGCAGCAGUGGGGAAUAUUGCACAAUGGGCGGAAGCCUGAUGCAGCAACGCCGCGUGCGGGAUGACGGCCUUCGGGUUGUAAACCGCUUUCGCCUGUGACGAAGCGUGAGUGACGGUAAUGGGUAAAGAAGCACCGGCUAACUACGUGCCAGCAGCCGCGGUGAUACGUAGGGUGCGAGCGUUGUCCGGAUUUAUUGGGCGUAAAGGGCUCGUAGGUGGUUGAUCGCGUCGGAAGUGUAAUCUUGGGGCUUAACCCUGAGCGUGCUUUCGAUACGGGUUGACUUGAGGAAGGUAGGGGAGAAUGGAAUUCCUGGUGGAGCGGUGGAAUGCGCAGAUAUCAGGAGGAACACCAGUGGCGAAGGCGGUUCUCUGGGCCUUUCCUGACGCUGAGGAGCGAAAGCGUGGGGAGCGAACAGGCUUAGAUACCCUGGUAGUCCACGCUGUAAACGGUGGGUACUAGGUGUGGGGUCCAUUCCACGGGUUCCGUGCCGUAGCUAACGCUUUAAGUACCCCGCCUGGGGAGUACGGCCGCAAGGCUAAAACUCAAAGGAAUUGACGGGGCCCCGCACAAGCGGCGGAGCAUGCGGAUUAAUUCGAUGCAACGCGUAGAACCUUACCUGGGUUUGACAUGGAUCGGGAGUGCUCAGAGAUGGGUGUGCCUCUUUUGGGGUCGGUUCACAGGUGGUGCAUGGCUGUCGUCAGCUCGUGUCGUGAGAUGUUGGGUUAAGUCCCGCAACGAGCGCAACCCUUGUUCACUGUUGCCAGCACGUUAUGGUGGGGACUCAGUGGAGACCGCCGGGGUCAACUCGGAGGAAGGUGGGGAUGACGUCAAGUCAUCAUGCCCCUUAUGUCCAGGGCUUCACGCAUGCUACAAUGGCUGGUACAGAGAGUGGCGAGCCUGUGAGGGUGAGCGAAUCUCGGAAAGCCGGUCUCAGUUCGGAUUGAGGUCUGCAACUCGACCUCAUGAAGUCGGAGUCGCUAGUAAUCGCAGAUCAGCAACGCUGCGGUGAAUACGUUCCCGGGGCU
rnacentral:rRNA from 1 species